UUUUGGUCGCCAACGAGUGGCGGACGGGUGAGUAACACGUAGGUAACCUGCCCAGAAGCGGGGGACAACAUUUGGAAACAGAUGCUAAUACCGCAUAACARCGUUGUUCGCAUGAACAACGCUUAAAAGAUGGCUUCUCGCUAUCACUUCUGGAUGGACCUGCGGUGCAUUAGCUUGUUGGUGGGGUAAYGGCCUACCAAGGCGAUGAUGCAUAGCCGAGUUGAGAGACUGAUCGGCCACAAUGGGACUGAGACACGGCCCAUACUCCUACGGGAGGCAGCAGUAGGGAAUCUUCCACAAUGGGCGCAAGCCUGAUGGAGCAACACCGCGUGAGUGAAGAAGGGUUUCGGCUCGUAAAGCUCUGUUGUUAAAGAAGAACACGUAUGAGAGUAACUGUUCAUACGUUGACGGUAUUUAACCAGAAAGUCACGGCUAACUACGUGCCAGCAGCCGCGGUAAUACGUAGGUGGCAAGCGUUAUCCGGAUUUAUUGGGCGUAAAGAGAGUGCAGGCGGUUUUCUAAGUCUGAUGUGAAAGCCUUCGGCUUAACCGGAGAAGUGCAUCGGAAACUGGAUAACUUGAGUGCAGAAGAGGGUAGUGGAACUCCAUGUGUAGCGGUGGAAUGCGUAGAUAUAUGGAAGAACACCAGUGGCGAAGGCGGCUACCUGGUCUGCAACUGACGCUGAGACUCGAAAGCAUGGGUAGCGAACAGGAUUAGAUACCCUGGUAGUCCAUGCCGUAAACGAUGAGUGCUAGGUGUUGGAGGGUUUCCGCCCUUCAGUGCCGGAGCUAACGCAUUAAGCACUCCGCCUGGGGAGUACGACCGCAAGGUUGAAACUCAAAGGAAUUGACGGGGGCCCGCACAAGCGGUGGAGCAUGUGGUUUAAUUCGAAGCUACGCGAAGAACCUUACCAGGUCUUGACAUCUUGCGCCAACCCUAGAGAUAGGGCGUUUCCUUCGGGAACGCAAUGACAGGUGGUGCAUGGUCGUCGUCAGCUCGUGUCGUGAGAUGUUGGGUUAAGUCCCGCAACGAGCGCAAC
rnacentral:rRNA from 1 species